rnacentral:sRNA from 1 species
AGCAAUAGAAGGCUUGCAAGGGUGGCCGGCUAAUCUCCCGGAAGGGAGGUGAUGCCAUGGAGGUUUAUCAAGCGUUGUCACUGAUGUUCAUGUUUGGCAUGUUCAUUAUUGCUCUGCUAAAUUACCUCAAAAAGAAAUAGGCCGCCCUCUGUCCAGGAUAGCGACCUAUUUCUGUGGGUAGUGCCUGUUUAAAGCCGCCGCCCUUAAAAGCGGCUAUUGCACCGGGGAGUCGUGUUAGCGCACGGCUC